rnacentral:tRNA from 1 species
UGUCCAGGGGCGGUAAUUGAACCCACAACCUUCCGCUAACCGGGCAGAUGCCAUGUCCACUAGGCUACCCUGGGC